rnacentral:rRNA from 1 species
AACGAACGCUGGCGGCGUGCCUAACACAUGCAAGUCGAACGGGAUUCGGAGCUUGCUCCGAUGAGAGUGGCGCACGGGUGAGUAACGCGUAGAUAAUCUGCCUGAUGGUCUGGGAUAACAGUUCGAAAGGACUGCUAAUACCGGAUAAGCCCACGGAGACCUUGGUCUUUGCGGGAAAAGGGGGGGACCUUCGGGCCUUCCGUCAUCAGAUGAGUCUGCGUACCAUUAGCUAGUUGGUAGGGUAAAGGCCUACCAAGGCGACGAUGGUUAGCUGGUCUGAGAGGAUGAUCAGCCACACUGGAACUGAAACACGGUCCAGACUCCUACGGGAGGCAGCAGUGGGGAAUUUUGCGCAAUGGGGGAAACCCUGACGCAGCAACGCCGCGUGAGUGAUGAAGGCUCUUGGGUCGUAAAGCUCUGACAGAGGGAAAGAAGUGUAUGGUGGUUAAUACCCAUUGUACUUGACGGUACCCUCAAAGGAAGCACCGGCUAACUCCGUGCCAGCCGCCGCGGUAACAC